rnacentral:rRNA from 1 species
UAAUACGUAGGGUCCGAGCGUUGUCCGGAAUUACUGGGCGUAAAGAGCUCGUAGGUGGUUUGUCGCGUUGUUCGUGAAAACUCACAGCUCAACUGUGGGCGUGCGGGCGAUACGGGCAGACUGGAGUACUGCAGGGGAGACUGGAAUUCCUGGUGUAGCGGUGGAAUGCGCAGAUAUCAGGAGGAACACCGGUGGCGAAGGCGGGUCUCUGGGCAGUAACUGACGCUGAGGAGCGAAAGCGUGGGGAGCGAACAGGAUUAGAUACCCUGGUAGUCCACGCCGUAAACGGUGGGUACUGGGUGUGGGUUUCCUUCCUUGGGAUCCGUGCCGUAGCUAACGCAUUAAGUACCCCGCCUGGGGAGUACGGCCGCAAGGCU